AUGCGAUGUGUUUUGCCAUUUGACAUUUAUUAUUGUUUUCCUUGUGAAAUAAAUAACUCCAGUAUUCAUUUCAUCUUCCAUGAAGUUGUGAUGCCUUCAUCUCUUUAUGCUUCUCAUGAUAGCUGCAUUGCUCUGUUAUACACUUAUACCUUUGCUUCUUGGUAUAUCCCCAAGAACGUCGAGGACACGGUCCACCGCGAGGUCGAGAUCAUGCAACACCUCUCGGGCCACCCCGCCGUCGUCACGCUGAAGGCCGUCUGCGGCGGCUGCAAAUCAAAGGUGAUUGUGCGUCGGCCCUCUCUCCUUCCAAUCCUCUCUCUACCACUGGAGCAAAAGUUGCGGAGAUCUUGGCGGCGUUGGCAGUCGCAGCUGGGCGUGGUGUGGAGCCGGCAUGCGUCUGUGCUGCGCGUGCUGCCGGUGGCGUGCGUGUGUGCUAGUUGUCGUGGUCUGCGCAUGUUGUGCUUGCUCUAG
rnacentral:rRNA from 1 species